rnacentral:rRNA from 1 species
UACGUAGGGACCAAGCGUUGUUCGGAUUUACUGGGCGUAAAGGGCGCGUAGGCGGCAUGUUAAGUCAGCUGUGAAAUCUCCGAGCUUAACUCGGAACUGUCAGCUGAUACUGAUGUGCUAGAGUGCAGAAGGGGCAAUCGGAAUUCUUGGUGUAGCGGUGAAAUGCGUAGAUAUCAAGAGGAACACCUGAGGUGAAGACGGGUUGCUGGGCUGACACUGACGCUGAGGCGCGAAAGCGUGGGGAGCAAACAGG